rnacentral:misc_RNA from 1 species
AAAUCCGAGAAUUUCACCUCUCACGCAGCGAUACGAAUGCCCCCGUCUGUCCCUCUUAACCAUUAUCUCGGGACCAAAACCAAUAAAAUGGACCGAGGUCCUAUUCUAUUAUUCCAUGCACCACUAUUCAGGCGAAUAGCCUGUCUUGAGCACUCUAAUUUUUUCAAAGUAAACUCACUAGCCACCCAAAGCACCCGGUUAAAGGCGUAAGGGUAGACCAGCAAAUAGAGGCUUGGAGCGAGAAAACACCACUUGGGUGAUCCCGCUCCGAAAACCGUAGAUCCAACUACGAGCUUUUUAACCGCAGCAAUGGCGAUAUACACCUUGAGAGCUGGAAUUACCGCC